CACGUUCCCUGAGCACAGGAGGAAGGCAGCAUGACCGGGAGCACUUCUGAUGGAGGACAACUGUAACUCAGCCGCUUUCUCCGUUUACAGAUGUGUGCAAGGUCUCGGUGAACCGAGCGUCUACCACAGAGAUGAAAACAGUCUCUCGCUAAACCUGAAGCUCACGAAUUCAGCCAGGCUGGUUGUCCAAUGGAUGUCAAGGACCCUUCUGUGUCUAGCCCUCCAGCACCAGACCUACAAGAGAAUGACACUGUCUCUGACUUUUCACUGGUCCUAGGAAUGAAAUCUCAGGUCCCUCUGCUCAUGUGGCAGGCAUUUUGCCAGCUGAUCCAUCUCCCCCAAACCCAGAUUUGAGUUUUAAGAAUAAAAUAUGUUUAUAUCUUCUAAGAAA